UAGUGUUCGGUGUGGUGGGGAAUAGGUUCUCGUAAGUCCUCUAUAGUGGUUUAGAAUGGCUGAGUAGUCGCACGGGACGGGAACGGGUUCCUCAGGGGAGCAUUUGGAGGGUGCUCGGCUCGUGUACCCUCGAGCUACCCUAUCCGCUGCCUGGUUUUCCUCCAGCCCCAUGUGACCCGGGUCCAUCGUGAAGAU
rnacentral:lncRNA from 1 species